GGUAGUAAUAUCGCACUAAUUGGGUAGGGAUCCGAAGCCUCUAGAAGGAUAACAAAGGGUGUCCACACUCUACUCCUACUCAAUACAUCCCCGACGUACAGAGCGGUAACAUGUCUUUCCAAAUAGCUGAGCUUGGGUGUACGGGAAAUUGGAAGAA
rnacentral:ribozyme from 1 species